rnacentral:rRNA from 1 species
UACAGAGGUCCCAAGCGUUGUUCGGAUUCACUGGGCGUAAAGGGUGCGUAGGUGGUGAGGUAAGUCGGAUGUGAAAGCUCGGAGCUCAACUCCGAAAUGGCAUUGGAAACUACCUUGCUCGAGGGUUGGAGGGGGGACUGGAAUACUUGGUGUAGCAGUGAAAUGCGUAGAGAUCAUGAGGAAGACCAGUGGCGAAGGCGGGUCUCUGGACAGUUCCUGACACUGAGACACGAAGGCCAGGGGAGCAAACGGG